CCUACGGGAGGCAGCAGUAGGGAAUAUUGCUCAAUGGGGGAAACCCUGAAGCAGCAACGCCGCGUGGAGGAUGAAGGUUUUCGGAUUGUAAACUCCUUUUGUUAGAGAAGAUAAUGACGGUAUCUAACGAAUAAGCACCGGCUAACUCCGUGCCAGCAGCCGCGGUAAUACGGAGGGUGCAAGCGUUACUCGGAAGCACUGGGCGUAAAGAGCGCGUAGGCGGGAUAGCAAGUCGGAUGUGAAAUCCUAGGGCUUAACCAUAGAACUGCAUUUGAAACUGUUAUUCUAGAGUAUGGGAGAGGUAGGUGGAAUUCUAGGUGUAGGGGUAAAAUCCGUAGAGAUCAAGAGGAAUACUCAUUGCGAAGGCGACCUGCUAGAACAUAACUGACGCUGAGGCGCGAAAGCGUGGGGAGCAAACAGGAUUAGAUACCCGAGUAGUC
rnacentral:rRNA from 1 species